UUUGUCUCUCUCAUGCCUGUUC
rnacentral:miRNA from 1 species